UACGAAGGGGGCGAGCGUUGUUCGGAAUUACUGGGCGUAAAGGGCGCGUAGGCGGUCCUUCAAGUCAGGCGUGAAAGCCCCGGGCUCAACCUGGGAACCGCGCUUGAGACUGGCGGACUCGAGUUCGGGAGAGGAUGGUGGAAUUCCCAGUGUAGAGGUGAAAUUCGUAGAUAUUGGGAAGAACACCGAUGGCGAAGGCAGCCAUCUGGACCGACACUGACGCUGAGGCGCGAAAGCGUGGGGAGCGAACAGG
rnacentral:rRNA from 1 species